GGACUCGGCAAUGGAAACAAUCUGGGGUCUCAGCAAGGCUUUGGAGGAGUUGGAAAACCCCAGAAACCAGGACUUGGGGAUGGAAAUAGGCUGGGAGCUGGGGCCUUCCCAGGAACUGGAGUCCAGUCAGGCCUUGGAGAAGGACUAAAACCCCAGAAGCCAGGUCCUGCACCCCAGAAUGGAUAUGGACCAGACUAUGGAGGUGUGAAGUCCCAGAAGCCAGGAUUCAGGAAUGGGAAUGGACUUGGCCUGGGAGCCCAGUCAGGU